rnacentral:RNase_P_RNA from 1 species
CGAGUAAACCAGACAAUCACUGCUGCAUUAUAUGCAGGAGAGGAAAGUCCGAGCUCCACAGGGCAGGGUGCUGGGUAACUCCCAGUCAGGGUGACUUGAAGGAAAGUGCAACAGAGAUAUACUUCCGAAUUUUUUUCGGUAAAGGUGGAAAGGCGAGGUAAGAGCUCACCAGCGCAAGGGUGACUUUGCGGCUAUGUAAACCCCAUCUGGAGCAAGAUCGAAUAGGAAAGCAUAAAGAGGUGGCCCGCUUCGCUUUCGGGUAGUAUCGCUUGAAUCUAUUGGUAACAAUAGGUCUAGAUAGAUGAUUGUCUAAUACAGAACUCGGCUUACAGGUUUGGUCGUACA